GACGAACGCUGGCGGUGUGCUUAACACAUGCAAGUCGAACGGAAAGGCCCUGCUUUUGUGGGGUGCUCGAGUGGCGAACGGGUGAGUAACACGUGAGUAACCUGCCCUUGACUUUGGGAUAACUUCAGGAAACUGGGGCUAAUACCGGAUAGGAGCUCCUGCUGCAUGGUGGGGGUUGGAAAGUUUCGGCGGUUGGGGAUGGACUCGCGGCUUAUCAGCUUGUUGGUGGGGUAGUGGCUUACCAAGGCUUUGACGGGUAGCCGGCCUGAGAGGGUGACCGGCCACAUUGGGACUGAGAUACGGCCCAGACUCCUACGGGAGGCAGCAGUGGGGAAUAUUGCACAAUGGGCGGAAGCCUGAUGCAGCAACGCCGCGUGCGGGAUGACGGCCUUCGGGUUGUAAACCGCUUUCGCCUGUGACGAAGCGUGAGUGACGGUAAUGGGUAAAGAAGCACCGGCUAACUAUGUG
rnacentral:rRNA from 1 species